rnacentral:rRNA from 1 species
UACGGGGGGAGCAAGCGUUGUUCGGAUUUACUGGGCGUAAAGGGCGCGUAGGCGGCCAGCACAAGUCAGUUGUGAAAUCUCCGAGCUUAACUCGGAAAGGUCAACUGAUACUGUGCGGCUAGAGUGCGGAAGGGGCAACUGGAAUUCUUGGUGUAGCGGUGAAAUGCGUAGAUAUCAAGAGGAACACCUGCGGCGAAGGCGGGUUGCUGGGCUGACACUGACGCUGAGGCGCGAAAGCUAGGGGAGCGAACGGG